AUCUUAUCCAGAGUGGCAGAGGGACUGGCCCUGUGAAGCCACAGCAACCGAAAUCGUCGUAAGGCGGUUUGUCAGGUGCUAAAUCCAGCAAGACGGCAGGCGGAGUUCGCGCAAUGGCAAGAG
rnacentral:ncRNA from 2 species